ACGAGCCGAGCGGACCAGACGGGCUGAGACCGUCACGGGCGUCAGGGCUCGGCAGCGAGAACAAGGGAGGGGACGGGGCAGGGACGCGCCGUGCGGGAGCAGCGGCCGGCGGGGAGCGGAGGUGGCCGGGGAAGUGCUGGUGUAAAAAUGUAGCUCGACCAGCAGGACCUGGCGAAGUGACUCUUUAGCCCUGCCUACGUAUCAGCUGAAACGUAAAGCCCCGCAUUGGGGACCUAAAGCAAAGAACCAAAAACGAAAGAAUACUGAACCCAGCCAGGGGGAAUAGUACCGAUAACAGAAAUGUGCUGCACAAGAAUAAACCAUAGGUUGUUAGCGGUGGAUGAAUUAAAAUGGGACUCCAAGAGGCUGCGGUGUGCCCUAAUGCAUACAAAUCAUGAACAAAGAAGUGGUGUAAAGAGAGCUGUGGACAGCACUGGUCCAGAGAAGAAUUUUGUUUUUACAUCUUGCAAUUGAGAUCUCUGAGAAAUAGUUGAGGAAGAAUUCAAGAUCUGGAAGGAAGCACUUGUCCUACAUUAAGGAGGUGUUAACAUUUUCAGCUCUGCUACAUAAGAGACCAUAAUUUGAAGCACUUCCCUGGUACUUGCCCAGAUGUAUGAAGCCUGCAAGGUUUGGUAUUUAUACUGACCAGUUCACAAGAAGUGGUACAGAUCUACGUGUUUGCAAUAUAAAUUUUACUUUGUGAAGAAAAAAAUCUUCUGUAUAGACUCCUCAGAAGCUAUAUUUUACCGUGGACAGCUUUUUCUCAAUGUGAAUCCAUAAAGUUUAAUGUUUGGAAUUGAGAGGCAUCUAAUACAUACUGGAAAAAAAAGUCUUUCAGUUUCACCAGUUUCAUGGUCUCCUCUGUACUUUGGGAACAUACACAACUGUAUAAACUACAGGUGUAGUCAUGGAAUUGUUACCUUUUGAGCCAUAUGAGAAGUAUUAUUGAGCCUUUGGUACCAGGCAUCGCUUGGCCACGUAAGCAGUUGAACACGCUACACUCUAAUCAUGAUAAAGCAUCUGAAUGGAAUGCCUCUGAUUGUCUUAUAAAGAGGCUAUUCUUUUACAAGAAGGGUUAACUCAUUGUCACCCUGUGGCUGGUUCCAUGCAGAAGAUGAAUCUGUGCAAGAUGGAUCCUUAUAUCCAGACUUUAAGAUGUUGAAGGUGUAUUGCUGCUUAUGACCAAUCCCAGGGACAAAGGUCUACAAAAUGGCUCAAACAAGUUUGCUACAAGGGAAGCAGUUUUACUGUAGGGAGUGGGUUUUCCACAAGCUUCAGCACUGCCUUCAGGAGAAAGCUAACUGCAGCAGCACUGCUGCCAACAAACAAUCUCUUGUAGCAAAUUCUGGGAAUAAUGCUGGUGUUGUCUCUGGGAAAGGAGCUGCCUGGGGGGUGUUGUUGGUAGGAGGGCCUGGUAGUGGGAAGACAGCCCUCAGUACUGAAUUAUUGUGGCCAAGCUCACCUGCAAGCCUACAAAGAGGCUUGCAUUGCCAUGCUCUAGCUUUCCACUUCUGCAGGGCCCAAGAUUCUGACACACUGUGUGUGGGAGGGUUUAUUAGAAGUUUAGUUACCCAAAUCUGCCGCAGUGGACUCAUCCAGGGAUAUGAAGACAAACUAAGAGAUCCUGCAGUUCAAAGUCUCUUGCAACCUGGGGAAUGUGAGAGGAAUCCUGCUGAAGCAUUUAAAAGGUGCAUUCUGCUUCCACUUUUGGGGAUGAAGCCCCCCCAGCAGAGCCUCUUUCUGCUUGUAGAUUCGAUUGAUGAGGGUUGUAAUGUUGCAGAAGGUGAACAGACUUCUACAGGCAUAUCUGGAACUAUUGCAGAGCUUUUAGCUGAUCACUACGAGUUCUUCCCUCCAUGGUUGCUCCUCCUCUGCUCUGCUCGCAAGCAGAGUAAAACUGUUACAAAAAUGUUUACAGGUUUUCGAAAAAUAAGUCUAGAUGAUCUCCGAAAGGCAUAUAUUGUGAAAGAUGUGCAGCAGUAUAUUCUCCAUCGUUUAGAUCAAGAAGAAGCACUGAGACAACAUCUCACAAAAGAAACUGCAGAAAUGCUAAACCAGCUUCACAUCAAAAGCAGUGGUUGCUUUUUAUAUCUAGAACGUGUCCUAGAUGGAGUUGUGGAAAAUUUUAUCAUGUUAAGAGAGAUCCGUGACAUUCCUGGAACACUAAAUGGCCUAUAUCUCUGGCUUUGUCAGAGGCUUUUUGUAAGAAAACAAUUUGCAAAGGUCCAGCCCAUUCUGAAUGUAAUUCUUGCAGCUUGUAGGCCAUUGACUACAAUAGAAUUGUAUCAUGCAGUGUGGACCAAAAACAUGACAUUGUCUAUGGAAGACUUUCAACGCAAACUAGAUGUUUUGUCAAAAGUUCUUGUUGAUGGGCUAGGAAAUACUAAAAUUUUGUUUCAUUACAGUUUUGCAGAAUGGCUGCUGGAUGUAAAGCACUGUACACAGAAAUAUUUAUGUAAUGCAGCAGAGGGACACAGAAUGUUAGCAAUGAGUUACACCUGUCGAGCAAAGGAUUUGACACCAUUAGAGGCCCAAGAAUUUGCAUUGCAUCUAAUUAAUUCAAAUUUGCAGUUAGAGACUUCUGAGUUGGCUUUGUGGAUGAUAUGGAAUGGCACACCAGUCAAAGACUCUUUGUCCACAUUAAUCCCGAAAGAGCAGGAAGUACUACAGCUGCUAAUAAAAGCUGGUGCUCAUGUCAACAGUGAAGAUGACCGUACAUCUUGCAUUGUACGACAAGCUCUGGAAAGAGAAGAUUCCAUUCGGACCCUGUUAGAUAAUGGGGCAUCAGUAAAUCAGUGUGAUUCAAAUGGGAGAACACUGUUAGCUAAUGCUGCAUAUAGUGGUAAUCUUGAUGUUGUUAACUUACUUGUUUCUAGAGGAUCAGAUUUAGAAAUAGAAGAUACUCAUGGGCAGACAGCACUUACUUUAGCUGCUCGACAAGGACAUACCAAGGUUGUCAAUUGUUUGAUUGGAUGUGGGGCUAAUGUAAAUCACACUGAUCAUGAUGGCUGGACAGCACUACGAUCUGCAGCUUGGGGUGGACACACAGAAGUGGUUUCUGCACUCCUUUACGCUGGAGUCAAAGUGGAUUGUGCAGAUGCUGACAGUCGAACAGCCUUGAGAGCAGCGGCAUGGGGAGGACAUGAAGAUAUAGUGCUGAAUCUGCUACAACAUGGAGCUGAAGUCAACAAAGCUGAUAAUGAAGGUAGAACGGCUUUGAUUGCAGCAGCAUACAUGGGACAUAAAGAGAUUGUGGAGCACCUCCUUGACCAUGGUGCAGAGGUAAAUCAUGAGGAUGUGGAUGGAAGGACUGCUCUGUCUGUUGCUGCACUUUGUGUACCUGCUAGUAAGGGGCAUGCUUCAGUGGUUAGCCUUUUAAUUGACCGUGGUGCUGAAGUAGAUCAUUGUGACAAAGAUGGUAUGACUCCACUGCUGGUAGCUGCCUACGAAGGACAUGUAGAUGUUGUUGACUUACUUCUAGAAGGAGGAGCUGAUGUGGAUCACACUGACAAUAAUGGUCGUACACCCCUUCUGGCAGCAGCCUCUAUGGGCCAUGCUUCAGUUGUAAAUACUCUUUUAUUUUGGGGUGCUGCUGUGGAUAGUAUUGAUAGUGAAGGGCGAACAGUUCUUAGUAUAGCCUCUGCCCAAGGUAAUGUUGAAGUAGUACGGACUCUGCUGGACAGAGGACUAGAUGAAAAUCAUAGAGAUGAUGCAGGAUGGACACCUUUGCACAUGGCAGCUUUUGAAGGUCACAGGUUGAUAUGUGAAGCACUUAUAGAACAAGGUGCUAGAACAAAUGAAAUUGAUAAUGAUGGACGUAUUCCUUUCAUACUGGCUGCACAAGAAGGUCACUAUGAUUGUGUACAGAUAUUACUGGAAAAUAAAUCUAAUAUUGAUCAGAGAGGCUACGAUGGGAGAAAUUCUCUCCGAGUUGCUGCUUUAGAAGGUCAUAGAGAUAUAGUUGAACUACUUUUCAACCAUGGAGCAGAUGUAAACUACAAAGAUGCUGAUGGCCGGCCAACACUUUACAUCUUGGCAUUAGAAAACCAGCUUACAAUGGCUGAGUAUUUUUUAGAAAAUGGUGCAAAUGUAGAAGCAAGCGAUGCAGAAGGAAGGACAGCACUCCAUGUUUCCUGCUGGCAGGGCCAUUUGGAGAUGGUGCAGAUACUGAUAACAUACCAUGCUGAUGUGAAUGCUGCAGACAAUGAGAAGCGGUCUGCUUUGCAAUCUGCUGCUUGGCAAGGCCAUGUGAAAGUAGUUCGGCUUUUGAUUGAGCAUGGAGCCUUAGUUGACCACACCUGUAAUCAAGGUGCUACUGCACUCUCCAUUGCAGCACAAGAAGGACACAUUGAUGUUGUGCAGAUAUUACUGGAGCAGGGUGCUGAUCCGAAUCAUGCAGAUCAAUUUGGACGUACUGCUAUGCGUGUUGCAGCAAAAAAUGGACAUUCUCAGAUUAUUAAAUUACUGGAAAAAUAUGGUGCAUCUAGUCUAAAUGGCUGCACUCCAUCACCAGUCCACACAAUGGAGCAAAAACCCUUGCAAUCAGUCUCUUCAAAAAUGCAGUCAUUAACAAUAAAAUCAAAUAGUUCAGGGAGUACUGGUGGAGGAGAUAUGCAGCCUACUAUGCGUGGUUUGUCUAAUGGGCCUGCUCAUGCUUUCAGUUCUCCCUCAGAAUCUCCAGAUUCUACAGUGGACCGCCAGAAGUCGUCUUUAUCAAAUAAUUCCCUGAAAAGUUCCAAAAACUCUUCUCUGCGUACUACAUCAUCUACAGCAACUGCUCAGACAGUGCCUAUUGAUAGUUUCCAUAGUAUGUCAUUUACAGAACAAAUACAGCAGCAUUCACUGCCUCGUAGCAGAAGCAGGCAGUCAAUUGUUUCUCCUUCUUCCACAACUCAUUCCUUAAGUCAGAAUCAUAAUUCACCAAGUAGUGAAUUUGAAUGGAGCCAAGUAAAACCCAGUUUGAAAUCAACUAAAGCAAACAAAGGGGGGAAAACAGAAAACUCCAGCAAAUCUGGAUCUGCUGGGAAAAAGAUCAAGCAGAGCAGCUCUUCCCAACCAAAAGUUUUAGAAUAUGAAAUGACUCAGUUUGAUAAACGAAUACCUGUUGCCAAAUCUGGGACCAGUGUGUCACUUAAAUCAAUGCCAGCAGAGUCACAAUGCAAAAUUUUGGUCCCUCCAUCUCAGCAAGAAGUUUGUCGACCUCAGCAACAGUUCCUAAUUCACCAACAGAGUGGGGAACAGAAAAAGCGAAAUGGAAUAAUGACAAACCCAAAUUAUCACCUUCAAAGCAAUCAGGUUUUUCUUGGUAGGGUUUCCGUCCCACGAACAGGACAGGAGAGAGGACUUCAGGAAGUUUUGGAAGGCUAUCCUGCAGAUACAGAACUAAGCCUUAAGCAAGCCUUAAAACUUCAGCUUGAGGGAACUGACCCAAGCUUCAACUACAAGAAAGAAACACCACUGUAAUAGAAAUUAUCCAGGAAUUAGUUAGUUAAUUCACUCUACUCCAAUCCUUAUACCUGCUACAUCCUGAUGAAGUUUGAGGUUUUUUUAAGGCCAAUUCCAUGAUGCUAUGAACAGAAGAGUUUCUGCCUGGAAUGGUUUAAUCAGCUGCCUGGGAUGAAAGCAUAUAAUGCUUGGUAGUCCACCUAGAAAACUAAGAAUGUGAUUACCGCAGUACAAUUACCUUAAUUACUGUAAUGUGCCUAAAUUUUAAGGCUGCCUUCUCAGUGUAACUCUCUGUGCUUCAGAAGUUUAUUUUGUGUACUUUGUACGUAAUACACAGAAUAAGCACUUUUUUCUUAAUUGCAGAAUAAUAUAUGCUGUGUUUCCCUGACAACACCUGAGAAAUUGUAAGAUCAAGGAUUUCUGAUAUCCUAUUCCAGAAGGCUUGAUAAAUGUGCAUGUGCCACGAUGAACUAUGUAUGGGAGGACGGUGCUUUUUGUAUUUAUUUUAUUUUCCUGUGGCAAAAGAAACUAAACAUACAGUUUGUACCAUAUUUGCAUUGCUAUAAUGUAUGGUCAUUUUCCUGUGUAUUUCAAAAGUUCUCUCAAGAAAAACAAAUCUGGUAACAAUAUUUGAUGAACUUGCAGUACUUGUAUGUUCUGUCUAUAAAACUACUCUGUUCAAUGAUAGAGAUGCAAGAUUAUAACCAUACACCACACCUCUGGGAUUUUUUUGUAAUAAAAUCUAAUUUCUACAAUUACAGCUUGAUAUCUGGAUGUACAGACUGGCGACCACUGAAAACGAUAGAGCUAUGCAUGUGUAUCCAAGGGCAAAACUUAGUCCAUACUAAAUAGUCUAGUAUGUUUAAAAAAAAACUGGAUUAAUUUCAAUAUUAGGUGCUUAAGUGUAAUGUGCUAAAAUUUAAGGCCUGAUUCUGCUUUCACUUACACCUCCGUAAGAACUCAGGAAUAACUCCAUUAAAGUAAGUGAAUUUACACCUGUAUAAUAUUUGUGCAAGCAAGCAAAAACAUCCAUUGUAUGUAACAGUGUACACUAUGAAAUUUUCUCCAUUUACAAGGGAUGAACAUGCACAACUCUAACUCUAUCGCUCAUGAGUCAUAAAAAUGAUUAACACCUGAAAAUAUAAGUAUAUUGCACCUUUUACUAUUACAUAGUCUGACUCUAGAUAAUAAAAGUUAACGUUUUCUUUAAGUAUUUUCUUUAAAGACUUGAAUUCAACUUUUCUCAUAUUGUGAUUCUGUGCAUUCCCUGAAUAGUGUGAUCCAAAGUCAUGAUGAUAAUCUAUUUAUAAAUUUAGAUAAAUGGCCCUUGGAUGCAUAUAUGUUGUAUAUUAUGGGACACUGAAGAUCUCGAUAGCUUACUACUGUGGUGAACAGUCAUCAGAACAUAAUUAAAUUUGAUUUUUUUAAUUAAUGCAUUGCGUUCUUAUUCACUCGUAUUAUCAAAUGUAAAAAGAAAAUCUUUCAUAGGCAUAUGAUGUGUAGUAAAAUGUAAUGUUAGAAGUUGACACCAUAGCAAUAUUGAUAAUUCUGAAGUGAAUGUUUUGAGUAUUUAAUUUUUUGUCCCUGUGGGAUAUUUAUAAAAUAAACACAAUGGAACUCUUGCAGAAUAGCCUUAAGAAUGUUAAUGGUUCAGUAAAGAGAGAGUACCAGAAAGUUUCAGCAAACUUGUUAUGAACCUUAAGUAUAGUGCAUUUGCAAUACUGUGCAAGAACACAACUUUCUCUUUUUUAUUGGGUGUAUGUUUUGUUCUGUAGAAAGAUAUCCCUGAAGGCUUACAUUUUCUACUACUUGAUUGUCGUUGGGAUUAUAUUUAUUUAAUUUUAUUGUUUUGUUUUGUUUUUGUUACAAAGUGCACAUUGGGUCAGAGGGCCCAUUUCACAAUGGGCUACAGUUUCCAGACAGCUUCAAGUUUUUGUAUGAAUAAUAUUUACAUUUGAAACAGUUGGUGGGUAAACCCCACAUAUAAAUCAACUGAAAGACCUGUUGAAAAGUUACUUUCAGAAUCAAAAUAACAGUUCCUGCAGCUUUUCAGUAUUGCUUUGGAAUAGAGCAUAAAUUAUUCUGUUAAAAUAUCCACUUUGAUGAGGGUGUGAGACAUUCCGCAUUGCUUUUUUGUGUGAUUUUAAUAUUACACCUUAUGUGGUCUGUACCAUGCUAAGAAAGUAAAACUAAUAUCCCCCAAAUGUUAGCAAUUCAAUUUGGACUUUUAAAAUGUUGUCUGAUGUCCUGCUGUCUGUACAAUUACACAGAAGUCAGUGGGAUUGCACACUUGUAACUCAGACCAGAAUUUAGCCUGUCAAAUAUUUCUCUGUUUCAGAUCUUGUUUUCACAAGCCACUAUGCGACUAGUCCUAUCUCCUCCUCCUCACAUUUCACGCAGUCUGUCCAACAACCGUCUCCAGAAGUGAUCACAAAUUCAUGAUGGGAAAGCUAGAGAAAAGACUGUCUUGUGAAUAUUAACAUCAAUACCAUUUACUUGUGGAGAAAAUCUUCAAAAGAGAAAAGUAUUGAAAUUUGUCAGAACUAAAAAGGUAUUGAGGUACAGUGAUGCCCUUGUGUCCUCCUUGUGAUCAGUAUUGAAAGUAUUACCAUUGAUUUAAAAAUAAAAGGCUGUUUCCCUCAUUAAUCUGCUAUGCAAAUGUGUGUUAUGCUUAAUAUCCUCCAUCUGAUCUGUUCAGUUAACUUUUGCAGAUAGACUCUUUUUUUUUUCCUCCCUGGAUUGGGUUGUAUAUAGCCUAUAAUGUACAUUGAAUGAAUUUCACAUUGUAAAAUUUUUAUUUUAUUCCUUGUAUUAUAUUAAGCGAAAAACCCUAUGUAUAUGAAAGUGCAUAAUAAAUAUAUUUGCUUUUCAGCA